AUGAUGUUGAUGAUGUCGGCGAUCUUCUUCUCCCUAACCUUGUCUCUUGCGGUGUGCGUGGCUGCCACCGCUCCGGCUGCGGCUCACGACGACGUAGGCACCACCACCACCACCACCAGCAGCAGCAGCAGCAGCACGCUGUGCGUGCACAAGGCUUCGACGCAGGCGUACGAUGGUGUCGUGGCGCUUCAGGACGGAUCUGGGCUGCUCAUCUGCUGGAACAAAAAUGGAGGACAGGCAUGGUUGGCUAGGAUCGAUACCGGCGGCUCCGGGUCAUCCGUCCUCCGCGUGGCCGACAAGCCCUUCCUCGACCUCGGAAGCCGCGUGAGCCACGAUGCCGCGCGUGGCCGGGGCUUUGCUGGGGUUGCUGUCCAUUCGAGCGGCCGAUUGUUCGUGUCCUACUACACAACCGUUGCCCCCAACGGCAGCGCCUUCCUCGUCGUCAAGCAACUACAGCAUUCAGCAUCCUGGAAUGAUGUGGCUAUGACAAGGGUCUUUUGGAUGGCCUUGCCUCAGGUGGCGGCCGAGCCCCAGUCUGCAUCAGACCUUGCUCUCGACUACUACGGUGGGCAGAUCAUGUUCCGCCCCAUGGACACUGAUCCCUUCCUUUACCUAGUCACCGGCCCGGGCCAGACCGAUGGUCAGCUGCAAGCAAAAAUCUUGCGUUUCCGCAUGCCGUCGGGAAACGGUACAAACACGCCCAUGGAGGCCCAAUUAUACGCGGCGGUCUCAGGCGUCCCGAGGCGAUGCGCGUUCGAUCCCGACAAACCUCCUGACCUCUAUUGCGCCAUAGUCAAGGACGACCAGGAGCAUGUAUACCUGAUCUCGGACCCUGACGCUCCAUCCUACUCUGCCACGCCACCAAGCCCAUCGCUCCUCGUGGACAACCAGCGGCCCACGCCAGGAACGCCGCCGUCCCUAGUAGGCGGCCUGCUUUACCGGGGUUACGCGGACAAAUCCAUGACCGGGAGCUAUAUCUACAUGGACGGCUCGGAAUUCUGGGUGAUGGAGGCGUCGCUGGCCCGCACCACUCGAAACCUCCGGGUCACCUGCUCCGCUUCAGCACCUGCUACCAUCACAUCUCCCUGCCAAGCCGGCGACUUUGCCGGCGGCACCAUUACCUCGUUUGGCGAAGAUGCACACAAGAAUGCCCUCCUGCUUGCAACAGACGGGGUUUACCUGGUUGUGGGGCCCACCCUCUGCGACAAGGCUCAACCUCCCACGUCCACUAGUAACAAACUUCUCAACUUGAUCCUUGUUCUGAUAAGCUUGACAUCAGCCACUCUCGUUGCGGGUUACGGCGCGUACAAAUGCCGCUGCUGCCCCAAGAAGAAUGAAACCAGCCAAACGCAUACUUACACCUUCAACGCCGGGGGUGACAUCAACAUGGAGCAAGGGGGCGUACAAGAAAUACAGCUGCUGCAACGCACAGAAUCACAACAACCUCUACGCCGCUAA
rnacentral:rRNA from 1 species